CAGAGCUAAAUGUUUUGGCAUCGCUCCCUCUAAUGUGGUCGAGCAGCGUUCCCUCCAAAGACGUCAUAUAUGUAGAUAUUUACAUAUAUGUAAAUUAGGACCAUGGCUCCCCCGCUCCGCUGUGGGUGUCACACGCUCACACGCUGUUGGAGUCAGGCUGUUCCGCUUUGCCGGAAACUCAGAUAAACCAGUAAGGAGAGUUAAUAAUGCUUACGUAAGAGUUUUAGUAAAUCUCGCACAAAAAACUAUAAUCUCGGAUUUGUCCGAGAUUUGAGCAGUUUACAUCUAUUGUCCAGGGUAAUGAGAAAAUACGUUUAUCUGGUGUUUUGAAACUUUUCAAACAUCUAAUAUGGACACCAAACUUUGUAACUUGGCCUGUUUUGUUUCUUCAAAAACAUUCAUUUUGCAUCUUAAAGUCUGAAGAGGAAGUUUUUAAAGAGAGCGCAGUGAUGCCGUUUAAGGAUAAGUUUAAGCUUAGAAAAAAUGCUGAGACGACACGGUUUAAGGGUUUUAGACGAUAAACGACUAAACUCUGUGAACAUUUCAGAUACAAAUAUGUUUUUUUAAAGUGUGAGUAAAGAAGAAGAAGAAGAAGAGGAUGAAGAGGAGGAAGACUCAUUUCACAGCAGAGACUCAGCAGAGGUCACUGAGGACAGUAAGAGCAGAAGAACAAGAUAAAUAAAGGUAAAACUCAACACUGACUGUAGUUUUAGAGUUUUAAUGUGAAGUGAGGCUGUCUAAACUAAUUAAUUAUUUUGACUUUUUCUCCAAAUCAUCGCUUAAACAGCAGGUACAAGGUUUUGAUUCAAAGGUUUUAGCCCGAGAAAAAUAUAUUUAUUCUUAAAACCUUCAUUGAAAUACUUGUAAGUCAUUUUUAUGGUUUUUAAGUUGUAGGUUAACAGUUUGGUUCAACAGGUCCUUGUAGAUGCUGACCAUAUGUAAAAAGAAUAACAAGAACCUUUAUAGACAUGUUUAUCCUAAGUGACCGUAUGAAUUGAUCUGACAUUGUCCUUUAAUCAGAUCAGAGUAAACCAUGGAGGAGUUUCAUUCACCUAAAGUUUUCAGUGUGUGAUUGCAGCUCCGUCUAAUGAUUGAAAACCCCCUGAGGUGACAAACCAGAGCAUGUAGUUGACGCGUAUUUCCAUAAUAAAACACCAUAGUCGUAGAUUUUUCCUUUCUUGAAUUUACAUGGAGGUUUACUUUGCAUAAAAAAAAGAUACUUUUUACAAAUAAUAAUGACGAAGUCGAGACCCGAUGUAAACACGGUCAGAAAUUACUGUGCUCGCAAAGACCCACAGCUGCACUAACAACCCAAGAAAAACCAAUGGGAGAGCUGCAGUAGUAAUCAGCUUCAAUCAAACUUUAAAGUACAACUAUACAACUGUUCAGUCUCUCAGAGUUCUAAUCAGGAUAAAUAAUAAAAAUGAUUAAUUAUAUGUCAAAUUAUCAGUAGUGCACAAAAGGCUCUAACACAGUGUUUCGAAUGAUUUUUCCUCUGAAGUUUAAAUUAUUUCUUUGGACAGAUAUUUGGGCCGUUCUCCAUCAAACAAGGAUGUUUGCUCUCGUCUUGGUGUCUCUGCUUUUUUCUGUGAGGGUCGGUAAUGCGGUCAGAGGUAUGUGUAUUUAUGAAAGUCCUUUUUAUCACUUCAAUGUUCAACAAAAUAGAACAAAAUGAUUUUUAAUGAUGGAUGUGGUUACAAAGUCCUUCCCUUCACCUCAUCUAUUAUUGAAGAAAUCUGAAGGCUGUAGUAUUAGUGACAUGAUUAUAGAAAUAUGAUCAAUGUUGAGAUGUCUGCUGAGCUCUACUGACAACAAGUUGAUGUGAAUCUGAAGAAGAAGCCGACCGAACAGUUGGUAUAAAACAUGCUCUGACAAACUAAAACGUUUCUAUCCCUGCAUGUCUCACUGUUUGUUUUUUUAACAGGGUCUUCAGAGACGGAAGAAACAAUAUGUCAGGUGGAAGACUACUGUAUUACUUUAAGGAGAGGAGAAAUAAGAGCAGAAGCUGGACUCUGUGUUGUGAUACCGUGCUCUUUCAAUACUAGCUCUAGAUUUACUCCUGUGGCUAUCGAUUGGUUCAAAUGUGAGCCGUCUGUAAAAUGUAAUGUUUCAGAGAUAACAUACAGCUCAUACAGUGAAGAAGAUCAGUCAGAAUUGAGAGGCAGAGUAACACAGUUGGAGCCUUACAUUUUUAAGAGGAACUGCAGCAUCAUCAUCAGUGACCUGACUGAGUCAGACUCUGGAUCGUAUCAGCUCAGAGUUCAUGGUUGGCUUGAUGGACGCAGGGAUGGUUUCCAAUAUUCUUCAAGAGCAACUGUCUCUGUUAAAGGUAUGAAGAGUUUCACAAACAUUCAGUCAAGAAGUGAAUUACUGGACAUUUAGAUAAAGUGUGUGAAUUCAGGCUGUGAAGAUUCCUGAUGGAGCAGGAAGUAAUUUUGGCAUAUACUGACCUCUAGUGGUAAACUGUGAGAACCGCAGUGGUCCCACACAUCACUCCCAUGACUCUAAGAUAAUAAGUGUCCAGAAUCUCUGAGUAAAUUUGAAGUGUUUUAAUAGUUUCCAUGCUGCUCACCUCGUGUACUCAUGGACCUCUCUCUCAUCAGCUCUGACCCAGAAGCCCGCAGUGAUGAUUCCUCCUCUGACAGAGGGACAGCAGACCACACUGAGCUGCACUGCUCCUGGUCUCUGCUCUGGAUCUGCUCCUCAGAUCACCUGGAUGUGGAGACGAGGAGAAAACGACUCUGUCAUCCUAGGAAACUUCCGUACUGAGAGUCUGUCUGCUGCUGCACAAAGACACAGCUCAACUUUGACCUUUACACCCUCAGCUGAGGACCAUGGCACUGAGGUCACCUGUAAGGUCAGCUUCAAAAACAACAUCUCCACAGAGAAGAAAGAGACUCUGACUGUGACCUGUGAGUAUCUGAUCUCUAAAAAUGUUUCACGGAAAAACAACAGGAGCAGAUUUUCUGAUUGUUUUCAUGUCCCCUGAUGAAAAUGGUGCAACUUGAUAAAAGUUUAAAUCACAAACAGAUUGAAACAAAAUAAAUUUGAAUGAACUUUUUAGUGUUUUCUUCUAUUUUGUACAUGUUAUAUAAAGUUGAUCUGGUUCGGGAAACUGAAUCUGCACCAUUUUCAGGAUAAUUUCUCCAUUUCUGUCGUGUCAUAUUUAAAUAGAAAUUAUUGAACUGGUGUUUAGUUGUUUAAAUUGAACCUUGCUUGAAAAGUUUUCACCUUUUAUAGCAAAAAUACAGAACAGAAACCUGUUGAACAAGACAUCUGAAAAACAAGACAUUAAAACUAACUUUCUAGAAAUUAAAGUAACCAUCAACAUUUUAGUAACAAUUAGAGAGUUUCUGCUGAUGUGAAAUAAAUCCAGUUUUGUACUAUAUUACCUGACUCCUGUGCUUUUAGAGGACUAUAUCAGGACUAAUGUCAAAGUAUUUGUUUUUACUGUUAUUAAUAAAAGGCUUUCAUUUCUAGCAAAACAUAUGACUUUAAAUUUUAAGUCUCCCACCUACUGAAUCAUUCUUCUAUUCCUCUUGUUUGUUUACAGUUUCACCAAAGAUUCUCAACAGCUCUGCAUGUGAAGCUCAGCCUGGUGUCCUGACCUGUGUGUGUAUCAGUGAGGGGUUUCCUUUACCCACCGUUACAUGGCCACUGCUAAACAAUCACACCCAACACUGUGUCACGACAAGUGUGUGGAAAAACAGAGUCAACAGCAGCAUCACUGUACCUGAUAAAGAUCACAGCUACUCCACUGUUGGGUGUGUCAGCAAAAAUAACUUUGGAGAAGUGAAGAAGGAGCUGAAGAUCGUCAUAGCCAGCGAGUUUGAACAGGAGGGUGAGAACUGACGACUAAAGGCUGACUUAAAAUAAAUACUUGAUUUUACAUUAAAAAGUAACUUGUUAAACGUUUCUGUUCACAAGGAGUCGUGCUCUCUUUGGCUGUCGUUGCUGCUCUGUCUCUCGUUUUGAACGUCAUCUGUGUAAUCCUCGUGGCGUUUCUCUGGUGAGUUACUAAACCCUCAGUCUGUGUUUCCACAGCUCAGUUAAUGCAGUGAAGACUUUUAAACACUCAAUCAUGUUGAAUUUUUUUUUUCUCUUUUUCUCAAAAAAGGACCAAAAGAAGAACAGUGACACCAAACAAGGCGGACAGGACUUACAUGUCUCUUCAGAAAACAGAGCUAUCUCCAGAGCAGGGCUCUCAGGUUUCACGUGUCGAGCGUGAGACACACAUUUCAACGAGUUCACGCACCACACAACAUUUCUCACGCAGUAAACCUAUAAAUGGAUGAUGCUUGAAUCUGCAACCAAUCAGCCAGUCAGAAAAUAGUAUUUCUUGUUGCUAGGUGAAAUAACAGCACCAUAAUCGUGUCCUCCACACGCACGAAUGCUGCUAUUGUGUGCACACUAAAGAAGAGCUGGAAGUGGGUCCUGAAAUUAUGUUGCAACUCAAUCACUUGAUUUUUUUCUCAUACAAUUGCUGUAUUUUAUUAAAGUCAAGGAACUAUGCAGUAAAUUUGCUUUAUGGAUCAUUUUUUACCUCAAUUUAGGUUAUCUUCAAACACACUUCACUUCACUUCCCCCUCAAAAACAAACAAAUAAACAAACAAAAUAAAAAAUGAUCUCACUCCAAGCUCAGCUCAAUACUUGAGAGCCCUGCUCCAGAGUCUGCAGUUAUCUGCCGACCUCUGAACUAACCAGAGUCAGCUUCACUCCAAGUUUUUUUAAGGUUGUUUCACAGCGAAAUGAUUUCAAGUAAAAAUAAAGUCAAUGAACUUUUCACUGACUUACAGCAGAUUGAAGUGAUUUGAAGGUUUAAGUAACUUUGUCACUUCUUAGGAUACUGAGCACACAGAGGUACCAAACAAGCUCAUGUUCAAGUCAUCAACUGGACCGACUUUGCUGUGAGCAGAAUCCACGGAUGUUGCGCAACAUGAACUAUAAAAACACAAUAAUGCAGAAGCGCUCCCUCAGGUUCUGCUUUUAUAAUGAGGACAGACUAAGCUGAUGUUUUUUUGAUGUGUUUAAAUGACUCAUAAUUUCUUCUCCUGUCUUAUGAUUUCAUUCUGUGAUUUACCUGAAACUGUUUGUAUGUAGCAUAAACGCAGGAUAGCGUACGACUCAAAACACACCAAAUCAAGGUUCAUGAAGGUCCUGUGAGGAGAUUUCUGCUGGUUAUAAAACAGACUGAUAUUUCCUCUGUUGUCAUUUUUAAUGUCUGUGACUCCUGUGAGGGUGUUAGACCAGAUGUUUCACAACACACCGAAGAAGAAGAAGCUUUUUUCCCUGUAGUUCAUAAAAAUGAGUAAACGGGUUUGAUUUUGAAAAGUCAAGAGGAUGAGAUUUCUUAUCAGGAAACAUGAAAUUGUGUAAUUCUCUGUGCAAUAUUCUACACUACAAACUGAUUGUAUACACUUAUGCUUGAACGUUUAAUGUCUUGAGGGAACCUUCCCAAAAGGACAGAUGAAGUUGUAUCUAAUCUAAUCUAAUCCCCCCUGGGGAUAAAUAAAGUUUUCUGAUUCUGUUUCUGGUUUAUGUAUUUAAAGGACAACAUCAGCAAAGAAAGGCUGAGAGCAGAAGUGUGCAGCAAUGUGUGAUAACUAAGAGUGAAUUUUGUGUAUACUGAAAUUUAGAGAAAUAACAGACGUAACAUUGAAACUUUGAUAUUUCAGUGAGAGUAUUUAUGAUAUCAUUGAGAAUACAGAUGGUUCAAAAGAAGAGAAAUAAAACGCAGAAGUGCCUGAGAAAACUUCCUCAAAUCUUCCAAAAAAAGACCAAACGCAAAGUGAAAAGGGGGUCAGUUCAGAACUGAAACUUGCAGAGGAAAGAGAGCAGAGGAGCGAGACAGAGAGAGGUAAAAGACAACUUUGAAAGACACUUAAACAUGUUAUUUUGUGAUUGUGGAAAGGCUGGAGUUAUUUAUUCUUACCUUUUUGAUUUUCUGCUAAAGUAACUGAAGAGUGUUGAAAAACAGGAUGUGCUGUAGUUUUCUCAGUUCAUGAAUUCAAAAGCUGUUUUUAGGGUCCAAAGCUGACGUUGUUGUAAAGAUUAUUAAGUUUUUAACAGCAUUAGAGACACACCGAGAACAGGGCUGUGACACUAAAAAUCUCUGGAUAGCUCAGACACCUUAACAUACGAUGAAAAAGCUAAACAUAAGAAACAAAAACAGAGUUCUGAGAAAUGUGGGAUACUAAAAGUGCGUAUUUAUGAUCAAAAAGAUUAAAAACCAAAAAAACCUGUCAGUUUAGGCAGAGGAGAAAUAAGCUGUGUUUGCAGAACCUUCCUGAAAUCUGGUUGCACACCGAAAGGAGAAAUAGAAAAGAGAGAAGAGACAUUUGAGCGCUGAAACUUGUAGAGAAAAGAGAGCGGAGGAAGGAGACAGAUGGAGGUAUGAAAGAGUUUGGAAAUUAAUUUUGGGAGAGUAAAUAGAAGUUUCCAGAGUGUUUUCCUUCAUCCUUACAGAGUUAUUAAAAUGCUUUUUGAUAGUCUUUAGUUUGCUGGUAAAGUAAGAGUGUAGACUGGAUUGGAGGGAGACUUAAAAUGAGGAAGACUGCAUAACGGCUGUAUUGGAAACUAUUAGUGAGGUCUGGAGAGGCUGAAACGGCCAAGAGCUGCUAUUGUUAUUAAAAUCAUUGUAGUUAAAUCAACGACUGAUCAAUGCUGAGCUGUACAAACUCUCCUGAGUGUGACGUGUGAACCGUGGAGCUGCUGAAAAUGAACAAUCUUGUAUUUUAGGACUGUCAUGUCAGCUUUGAGCUUCACUUUGUCACUUUCUUCAUGUUUACUGUGAAAAUCUUUUCUGCAGCGGGAGAGAGACCGACAGUCUCAACAACCAACUCAGGAUGUUUGUCCUCAUAUGGACAACUCUGCUUUUCUCUGUGAUGGACAGCAGAGCAGACACAGGUGUGUAACUUCAUAGUGAUCUUAAGGUGACAAAAUUUCAAAUCUAACAGACUCCUGACUCAUGAAUACGAAGCGUUAUGUUCAGGCAGACGUUACAGAGCAUGUGAGUGUCAGAGCGAGGACCUCCAUUACACUGUUCAGAAACAAACAGCCAACAACAACCCUAAGACUCUAUAAUUCACCCUAAUUUGUCUUCUGUUUUAUCCUUGUGGCACAAUGAGCCAAAAUCAGCAGCUGUUUUUCUCAGUUUGUUGUAAAAUAUCAGAUUUUUUUGGCCCCAAUAACACCCACUUUUGUGUCUCUGCUCACUAGAAAGAAGAUCCGCCUGUCAAAAUGAAUUCUGUAUCACUCUCAGUGACGGAGAAAUAGGAGCUGAAGCUGGACUGUGCGUUGUGAUACCGUGCUCUUUCAAUACAAGCUCAACCUUCAUUCCCCAGAAUAUUGUGUGGUUCAAAUGUGAACCAUCCAAACCAAGAUGUACUGAUCAAGAUGUGAUAUACAAAAAGAACGACAAAAAGGUUCAGUCUGGAUUUAAAGGCAGAGUAAAACAGUUGGAGCCCGGUACGAGUCAGAGGAAGUGCAGCAUCAUCAUCAAUGACCUGACUGUGUCAGACUCUGGAUCAUAUCAGCUCAGAGUUAACGGUUUCAGUCCUGGCAAGGAUAAAGAUGGAUUCCAGUAUUCCUUAAGAGCGAAUGUCUCUGUUAAAGGUACGAAGAGCUACACAAACACACUGAGGAGGUCUAUGAUGUCGUGUGCAAACAAACUCCAACAGAGUAUUUCAGCUGUAAAAACUCAUAUGAAGUAAAUUUUAGCAUUUGUUGCUCUCUGCUGGUAAUCUGUGAGAACUGCAGCCAUUCAUAUUAUUACUCUUAUUCUCCUUGAUUCUUAUUUUUUCAGUAUCUGAGUAAAUUUAAUCCCCAAAAUAAAGUGUUUUAAUAGUUUCCAUGCUGCUCACCUCAUGUACUCAUGGACCUCUCUCUCAUCAGCUCUGACCCAGAAGCCCACAGUGAUGAUUCCUCCUCUGACAGAGGGACAGCAGACCACACUGAGCUGCACUGCUCCUGGUCUCUGCUCUGGAUCUGCUCCUCAGAUCACCUGGAUGUGGAGACGAGGAGAAAACGACUCUGUCAUUAGAGGAAACUUCAGUACUGAGAGGCUGUCUGCUGCUGCACAAAGACACAGCUCAACUUUGACCUUUACUCCCUCAGCUGAGGACCAUGGUACUGAGGUCACCUGUAAGGUCAGCUUUAAAGGGGGGGCGACAACAGAGCAGACAGAGACUCUGAAUGUAACCUGUAAGUGUCACAAAGUCUACUAAAGGCCACAGUUAUAAAUAUUAUAUUUGUUUUAAAUGAUGAAGUGUAUAAUUUUGUCUUACAGAUGUAAAGGAAGUUCAACUCUUAUGGAACACGGAUGUGAAAGAGGGUGAGACUCUGAAUCUGAGGUGCAACGUUGAGAGUUUCCCUCCAUCUCUCAUCACAUGGACAAAACUUCCUGAUAACAACACACAAACCGGAACAGAAACUGAUCUGCAAAAUGACACUUUAACUGAUCAGGAGAAGAAAACUGAAAUCUUCCUGAAGGAGGGAAUCGGGGAGUCGACUUUUUCCAUCUCUAAUGUGACUGUAAAGGAUUCAGGACUGUACAUCUGCAGAGCAAAACACCUGAACAACACCCUGAUGAAGGAAGUGGAUGUCAAUGUGAUAUGUAAGUGCCAACAAAUGUUCAACCUCAGUGCCAUCUAGUGGUGAUAAUGGAAAAAAUCAGACAAACGCCUACAUGUGGAAACCUUCAUAUGAGUGCUAAUUAAUUAUAUUACACAUAAAUUAUAAAGGAACUGAUACCAGGGUUAAUUAGUUUCAUAUAAUUUUCUAUUAAGUCUGUUGUCCAGAUGCAUACACAUAUAAUUACUCAUAUAAUCUAACAGAUAACAAAAGAAUAUACUCAUGUUAUCCUCUUGAAGUAGAAAGUUCAGUUUCAUUCUUCUAACUUCAUUAUGACUUUUGUUCACAGACAUGAAAACACCUGUAAUCACUGGGAAUACGUCUGUCACUAAAGGGGACUCUCUGAAUCUGACCUGCAGCGUUGAAAGUUUUCCUCCAUCUCAUAUCACUUGGACUUUACUUGGUUCUGGUUCUGACCUGCAGAACGACACGGGAUCAGCCACACUGCUCAUCAGUGAUGUGCAGGCAGAAAACUCUGGAAGGUACAUCUGUACAGCAAAACACCUGAACACGACUGUGACUGUAUUCACUGACGUUUCUGUGACAUGUAAGUGGACUGGACUCAUCUUCCUAUAAGAAACUUCAUGUUCAGAUUUCCCAUGAAGGUUGUUUUGUAAUGUUGUGAUUCUUUUUGUGUGUUUACAGGGAUUCAAAGCAUCUUGAAAGACUCUGGUUGUCAGAUUAGGUCAGAGGUCUUGACUUGUGUGUGUGUCAGUGAAGGUUUUCCUUUACCCACCAUCGAAUGGCCGCUGUUGAAGAACCACGCUAAGUACUCUGCCAUUAAUACUGUGACAAACCACACGAUCAGCAGCACCAUCACAGUGACUGCUAAAGACCACAGCAACACCUCUGCAGAGUGUGUCAGCAGCAACAGAAAUCGAGAAGUCAAAGAAAAUCUCACCAUCCAAAUUAACAUGCCAGAAAUAGAAGGUACAUGUCCUCGACCAAACUACUUCUGCUACUGCAAACUAAAGACCUCUGUGACCUUUGUGUGAGGAAGUCUACUGUAUAAUGCAAGCUGUGCAAGUUCAUCUGCAUGUUCACUGACACUGAAAGUUUUGUGUUGUUCCUCUUAAAGCAGAUCAGUCCUGGGUAUCAAAAACAUUUUCAUGGGUGGAAGUCAUCACUGCCUUUUUUCUGGGCUUAAUUCUCUCAGCUGUCCUUUGGUGUUUGGCAACAAUAUGCCAGAGGUAUUCUAUUAACUCCAAAGAGUUCCUCAUGGUUUGACAUUUGGAUGAUUGUUAUACAUACAUUGAAAUGGUUUGCUUUGUUUUCUCCAGACAAAGACAGAGGAGUUCUGGAAAUAUGGGGAAGACUUUGGUGAUGGUGACCAGUCAGGAGGAUCCCCUGGUAAUUAGAAUUCAUUCUGUUGUAGUUCCCUGACUGUCGGCUUAAGACUGGAUGCAGAACCACCAAAAUCACACCACACCGAAAAAUCCACUUUUUAAAGCAAAAGUAAACACCCUGAUGGUCUGGCCUCCCAUGCCAGUCUGUGUACAAGGAGCAAUGUUUUUGUAUAUAUAUAUAUAUAUAUAUAUAUAUAUAUAUAUAUAUAUAUAUAUAUAUAUAUAUAUAUAUAUAUAUAUAUAUAUAUAUAUACACAUAUAUAUAAAUAUAAAUAUAAAUAUAUAAAUAUAUAUAUUUAUACAUACACACACACACACACACACACACACAUAUAUAUAUAUAUAUAUAUAUACACAUUUAUAUAUACACGUAUAUAUAUAAAAAAAAUAUAUAUAAAAUAUUUAUAUAAAUAUAUAUAUAUAUAUGUAUAUAUAAAUGUAUAUAUGUGUGUGUGUAUAGAUUUAUAUAUAUAUAUAUAUAUUUCUAUAUAAAUGUACAUAUAUAUUUAUUUAUACAUAGGACUAGCCACCAAACACCACUCUACUCCAGCAGCCGCUUGUUUGUGGGGGAGCCCUGACAAGUUGAUCACCGAGUGCAGUGGAGUUUAGCAGCUCAAGGAAGAAAAUUUAGGAUCAUUACUUCAUGGAAAUGCAGUCAGACCGAACACUAAGGCAGAAGAACUACUGCGCCUGCAGUGCACAUACAAAAUACACAAGAAGUUUGAUUGCAUUUCCAUUAAGAAAUCAUCAUAAAUUUUCUUCCUUGAGCUGCGAAACUCCGCCACACUCGGCGAUCGACUUCUCAGGGCUGAUAAACAAGUCUUGUCAUUCAUGUUUUACUUGACAGAUGGAUGCUAGCCAAGAAGAAGAAGAAAAUCACACCUACUACCAAGAGGAAAGAGGAGGAAAAGCUGUGUCAGGGGAGAAAACAGCCCUUAAAGUGAACGGUGAAGCAAAAGAUGUGGAGUACGCCAGCAUUGAUUUCGCUGUGCUGAAAAGGAGGGCAGCAAAGAAGAAGGAGAGCACAAAAACAGAGUACGCUGAAAUUAGGAAAGACAUGAUAGAGCGAAGAGAAAACCACAGUGGAGUUAAAGAUGAAACACUGGGGGAAGAAGAGGAGGAGACAACUGAUUUGGUCACAGAGGAGGAGGAAGGAGAGGGUGUGGCAGUGUACUCCAAUCUGAGGGAUGUAAUAAAUGGGACAUGAGGACAGUGUUCAGAUAUGAAGAACUGAAGUAGUUCACUGAUGAUGGAUUGUUUUACUGUGAGGGACUAAAUUACAAGUCUAUACGUUUAAAAUGAGGCACCAGCUCGGUCCUCUCAGCUCUGGGAGCUGAAGCUAAGUGUAAUUUUGGUCCACUCAAAGCUCUUCAGAGUGGACUGAAUGUCUGUUCCUGUGGAAAAAUUAAAUCCUCCCUUUAACCCUGUGAAGCUAACCUGUCACUUCUCAGUGGCUGUGAUGACUGUAAGACAAUAGUGCAGUGCUGAUAUGGUGAAGAGUGCUUUAAUAAUCGUAUGCAUGGGUUUAUGAUGAAAGGGUUAUAUUUAUAUGAUACAGAUUUUGAAGAGAAGGAUGUUAAACAUCAUAAUUAAAGACUCCUCACUGUCCCGAAUGAGGCCGAGGACUGUGGUGUUGUCUUCUUCAGGACUUUGACAGAUGGAUCCUCUGAGAUCAAGUCAUUUAUGUGGAGGGAGAAGAGCAGUGGGGAAAGAACGCACACCAUCAGCGUAGAUCUAGGUGCUACUAGAUGUGAUCCCCACACCCAUCCUCAGACGAAUUAAGUGUCUGAAUGAAUGAGCGAGUGUGAGAGUUUUCUUCCACAGCUAUAUCUGACCCUGACUUUCAAAGAGAAGAAACUGUUGAGCAGUUUGUUUUCAUCAAUUCUUGUCUUACUUCUGGCACACUGCAGGAAAAAGUAGCUGUAAAUAAAGUGUUCAGUAAACUGACUGGUUAAAAACAA